AUUGAACGCUGGCGGCAUGCCUUACACAUGCAAGUCGAACGGCAGCAUGGGUGCUUGCACCUGAUGGCGAGUGGCGAACGGGUGAGUAAUGCAUCGGAACGUACCCGGAAGUGGGGGAUAACGUAGCGAAAGUUACGCUAAUACCGCAUAUUCUGUGCGCAGGAAAGCAGGGGAUCGCAAGACCUUGCGCUCUUUGAGCGGCCGAUGUCAGAUUAGCUAGUUGGUGAGGUAAAGGCUCACCAAGGCGACGAUCUGUAGCGGGUCUGAGAGGAUGAUCCGCCACACUGGGACUGAGACACGGCCCAGACUCCUACGGGAGGCAGCAGUAGGGAAUAUUGGACAAUGGGUGCGAGCCUGAUCCAGCCAUGCCGCGUGCAGGAAGACGGCCUU
rnacentral:rRNA from 1 species